rnacentral:rRNA from 1 species
CCCAGAGACCGAUAGCGCACAAGUAGAGUGAUCGAAAGAUGAAAAGCACUUGAAAGAGGGUAAAUAGCACGUGAAAUGUGAAAGGGAAGCGCUUGUGACCAGACUUGCGCCGGGCAGAUCAUCCGGUGUUCUCACCGGUGCACUCUGCCCGGCUCAGGCCAGCAUCGGUUCUCGCGGGGGGAUAAAGGCCCUGGGAACGUAGCUCCUCCGGGAGUGUUAUAGCCCGGGGCGUAAUGCCCUCGCGGGGACCGAGGUUCGCGCAUCUGCAAGGAUGCUGGCGUAAUGGUCAUCAGCGACCCGUCUUGAAACACGGACCAAGGAGUCAAGGUUUUGCGCGAGUGUUUGGGUGUAAAACCCGCACGCGUAAUGAAAGUGAACGUAGGUGAGAGCUUCGGCGCAUCAUCGACCGAUCCUGAUGUUUUCGGAUGGAUUUGAGUAGGAGCGUUAAGCCUUGGACCCGAAAGAUGGUGAACUAUGCUUGGAUAGGGUGAAGCCAGAGGAAACUCUGGUGGAGGCUCGCAGCGGUUCUGACGUGCAAAUCGAUCGUCAAAUCUGAGCAUGGGGGCGAAAGACUAAUCGAACCAUCUAGUAGCUGGUUACCGCCGAAGUUUCCCUCAGGAUAGCAGUGUUGUCUUCAGUUUUAUGAGGUAAAGCGAAUGAUUAGGGACUCGGGGGCGCUUUUUAGCCUUCAUCCAUUCUCAAACUUUAAAUAUGUAAGAAGCCCUUGUUACUUAAUUGAACGUGGGCAUUCGAAUGUACCAACACUAGUGGGCCAUUUUUGGUAAGCAGAACUGGCGAUGCGGGAUGAACCGAACGCGGGGUUAAGGUGCCGGAGUGGACGCUCAUCAGACACCACAAAAGGCGUUAGUACAUCUUGACAGCAGGACGGUGGCCAUGGAAGUCGGAAUCCGCUAAGGACUGUGUAACAACUCACCUGCCGAAUGUACUAGCCCUGAAAAUGGAUGGCGCUCAAGCGUCCCACCCAUACCCCGCCCUCAGGGUAGAAACGAUGCCCUGAGGAGUAGGCGGCCGUGGAGGUCAGUGACGAAGCCUAGGGCGGAGCCCGUGACACUAC